rnacentral:tRNA from 1 species
UGCGUGGUAGAGCAGCGGUCAGCUUGUCGGGCUCAUAUCCCGAAGGUCGAUGGUUCGAAUCCAUCCCUCGCAACCA